UUAACCCUAAAUAUUUAUUUUGCCGUCAUGUUUACUUUUGGUUUCUUCCGCCUUCUUGUCUCCAGUAUUCUUCUUGGAAACUUUGAGAAAUCAAGUUUGAUCUUUGUUCCCAAUAUCACAUUAUGUUAUUCAUAUAAAACCCAAUAUUCCUCUUUAUCAAAUCAAUUUGGUUUUCUAUGGUUAAUCAUCUCAAUUCCUUCGUGCUUUUGUCAGGACCAUAUUUAGUUAUUUCUUGUCAAAAUUUAUAAUCCACUGGUAUCUGAUCAGUCGCGCUAGUUAUCGUAUGGUGAUGUAUUGUGAUAUUGGUAUUAUCAUAUCGGAAGUCAAGAUUAACUGGAGCAGAUUGGUCGUGAAAGAUUGCAGUUCAAGCUGAAGGAGCUCAAGGGUUAUCGUUUAGUCUUUUAUGACAGUUUAUUAUUUUCAGUUGUGAAUAGAUCACCUAGUAAUCCAGUUGUAAUAGUUUGAGUUUUGUAAGCCUUAACGCUUGACAAAGUGGUCAAGUGUGGCGGUGAUACCUCCGAUUUAGGUGUAAGCUUCCGCAAUUUUUGUAAAGUAUAUUAUAUUUCUUAUUUAUUUCUAGUUAGUA